GAGACAUAGUACCAGAUUAUUCAGCUGUUAAUGUUUGUGUGAGUCUAUGUAUUUUUUCUGUAUUUCAGCCCCUCCAGUUCAACUCUGCCACCUGGACUGGUUCACCUUGCAAACAUUCACUGGCAGCUGGUGCUGGCAAGUAAUGGGAAGCUCCUGGCUGUGGUUCAGGACAAAUGCUUGGAAAUUAGUACCCAAGGAUCCAAACUUUCACUGGCGCAGGGUAGCGUAGAGUCAUGACUGUGCUCUGUUGGCAUAUGCUGACAGCACUGGUACGGUCUGAGUCUUUGACCUGAUGGCCAGCAAACUCUUCAUUAUU